UACUUUGACUCCUAUGCCCACUUUGGCAUCCACGAGGAGAUGCUAAAGGAUGAGGUGCGAACCCUCACGUACCGCAACUCCAUGUUUCACAAUCGGCAUCUCUUCAAAGACAAGGUGGUGCUGGAUGUGGGCUCGGGCACUGGCAUCCUCUGCAUGUUCGCUGCCAAGGCAGGGGCCCGCAAGGUCAUUGGGAUCGAGUGCUCCAGUAUCUCUGAUUAUGCUGUGAAGAUUGUCAAAGCCAAUAAGUUAGACCACGUGGUGACCAUCAUCAAGGGCAAGGUGGAGGAGGUGGAGCUGCCUGUGGAGAAGGUGGACAUCAUCAUCAGCGAGUGGAUGGGUUAUUGCCUCUUCUAUGAGUCCAUGCUCAACACUGUGCUGCACGCUCGUGACAAGUGGCUGGCACCUGAUGGCCUCAUCUUCCCAGACCGAGCCACCCUGUAUGUGACAGCCAUUGAGGACCGACAGUAUAAAGACUACAAGAUCCACUGUGAGCUGGGGCUGGAGUGGGUAGUGAGGGUAGGAUGGGCGGUGAGGACAGGACCUGGGUUCCAAGCUCACCUGACCCUGUCUGUUCCCAGGGUGGGAGAAUGUAUAUGGCUUUGAUAUGUCCUGCAUUAAAGACGUGGCCAUCAAGGAGCCCCUGGUGGACGUGGUGGACCCA
rnacentral:lncRNA from 1 species